rnacentral:lncRNA from 1 species
AGGAGAUGUGGGGCUAUAGGAAGGAGAUGUGGGGCUGUACGAAGGAGAUGUGGGGCUGUAUGAUGGAGAUGUGGGGCUGUACGAUGGAGAAGUGGGGCUAUAUGCAGGAGAAGUGGGGCUAUAUGCAGGAGAAGUGGGGCUAUAUACGGGUGAAGUGGGGCUGUAGCUAGGUGAAGUGGGACUGUAACUGGGGGAUGUGGGACUGUAACUUGGAGAUGUAGGGCUGUAACUUGGAGAGGUAGGGCUAUAGCUUGGUGAGGUUGGAGAAUAUGAGGGGCUGGUAGGAGAGUAGGCUGGACUUGUCGGACUGUAUCCUGGUGAGCUAGGACUGUAAGUAGGUGAUGUGGGGCUGUAACCAGGAGAGGUGGGACUGUACCCAGGAGAUGUAGGACUGUAACCAGGAGAGGUAGGACUGUAACCAGGUGAUGACGGACUGUAUCCAGGAGAUGAUGGGCUGUAACCGGGGGAUGACGUAGGAGAGAAUGCCAUUCCACCAACAUAAGGCGAGAACUGUGCAUCUGAAAUGGGUGAGAGACGGAGAUUUGGGCUCAGCAAGUAACUUGGAGACAUCAUGCCUUCAUGAUAAGGA